GACCAAUCGGCAGCUCGGAGGAGAUCUUCCAAUUUACAGCCUAAUGAAAACGCUUUUGAUGCCAUCGCACCCCUCACUGAGUGUGCUCCAUAUGUGGAAGUAUCAAUGCCUGCCGACGUCAUGAUCCAUUUGACCCAGCGAGAUAGGGUGACUGUAGAAACCGGACGAUGCGGUUGUCGAAUGGCCAGGAAUAGGUCCGCCCAUUGAGGGUCUCGGACCGCAGCCGUCCUUGCUUCAUACUCCUUAAGGCAGGUUACUGGGCAUAAGUUACUGUUGUGUGGAAAAGCGGGGUAAAAAACCUUAGUGAUGGACGUUUUCCUACGCCUCGAUAUAUCAAAG